rnacentral:rRNA from 1 species
AUUUUAUUUGAAAUAUGACCUGCCCUAUGAUAUAUUAAAUGGCCGCGGUAUAUUGACUGUGCAAAGGUAGCAUAAUCAUUAGUUUAUUAAUUGUAAGCUUGUAUGAAUGGUUGGACGAAAUAUUAACUGUCUUUUAAUUAUAUUAGAAUUUAAAUUUUUAGUUAAAAUGCUUAAAUUUAUUUAUAGGACGAGAAGACCCUAUAGAUCUUUAUUAAUUAAUUGUUACUAUAAUUUAGUUAUUUAUUAAUAGUUAAUUUUUUUUGUUGGGGUGACAUGGAGAAAAUAGGUGAAUGAUACUCUUUACUAUUAUUUACAUUUAUUUAUGGUUAUUUGAUUUUUUAUUAAUGAUAUUAGACUAGAUACCUUAGGGAUAACAGCGUAAUUUUUUUUGAGAGUUCUUAUUGACAAUAAAGAUUGCGACCUCGAUGUUGGAUUAAGAUUAUUAUUAGGUGUAGGUGCUUAAAUAAUUAGUCUGUUCGACUAUUAAAUUCUUACA